rnacentral:rRNA from 1 species
GUGGGGAAUAUUGGGCAAUGGGGGCAACCCUGACCCAGCGACGCCGCGUGGGUGAAGAAAUCCCUCGGGAUGUAAAGCCCUGUUGUAUGGGAAGAGCAGAAGACGGUACCAUACGAGGAAGCCCCGGCAAACUACGUGCCAGCAGCCGCGGUAAUACGUAGGGGGCAAGCGUUGUCCGGAAUUACUGGGCGUAAAGCGCACGCAGGCUGAAUUAUAAGUCGGUAGUCAAAUACGGAGGCUCAACUUCCGGAUAUCUAUCGAUACUGUAAAUCUAGAGUAUGUGAGAGGGAAGCGGAAUUCCCGGGGUAGCGGUGAAAUGCGUAGAUAUCGGGAGGAACACCAGUGGCGAAGGCGGCUUCCUGGCACAAUACUGACGCUCAUGUGCGAAAGCUAGGGCAGCGAACGGGAUUAGAUACCCUAGUAGUCC